rnacentral:rRNA from 1 species
GCCAGCAGCCAUCUCCCCCUGCAACCUACUGAAGCUCAGCAGGUGUGAGCCUGGUCAGUACCUGGAUGGGAGACCUCCUGGGAAAAACUAAGGUUGUGCUGGAA